GAUGAACGCUAGCGGCAGGCUUAACACAUGCAAGUCGAGGGGCAGCGCGAUGUAGCAAUACAUUGGCGGCGACCGGCGCACGGGUGCGUAACACGUAUGGAACUUACCCUUUACUGGGAGAUAGCCCGGAGAAAUCCGGAUUAAUAUCCCAUAAUAAACGAAGUGGCAUCACUUUGUUUUGAAAGCUCCGGCGGUAAAGGAUGGCCAUGCGCACGAUUAGCUAGUAGGUGAGGUAACGGCUCACCUAGGCUACGAUCGUUAGGGGGCCUGAGAGGGUUAUCCCCCACACUGGGUACUGAGACACGGACCAGACUCCUACGGGAGGCAGCAGUGAGGAAUAUUGCGCAAUGGAGGCAACUCUGACGCAGCCAUGCGCGUGCAGGAGAAGCGCUACGCGUUGUAACUGCUUUUAACCGGGAGAAACCCUCCGACGUGUCGGAGGUUGACGGUACGGAGAAUAAGCACGGCUAACUUCGUAGCC
rnacentral:rRNA from 1 species